UACGAAGGGGGCUAGCGUUGCUCGGAAUCACUGGGCGUAAAGGGCGCGUAGGCGGAUAUUUAAGUCGGGGGUGAAAGCCCAGGGCUCAACCCUGGAACAGCCUUCGAUACUGGAUAUCUUGAGUACGGGAGAGGUGAGUGGAACUCCGAGUGUAGAGGUGAAAUUCGUAGAUAUUCGGAAGAACACCAGUGGCGAAGGCGGCUUUCUGGACACUUACUGACACUGAGACGCGAAAGCGUGGGGAGCAAACAGG
rnacentral:rRNA from 1 species